rnacentral:rRNA from 1 species
GACGAACGCUGGCGGCGUGCCUAAUACAUGCAAGUUGAGCGAUGAAGAUUGGUGCUUGCACCAAUUUGAAGAGCAGCGAACGGGUGAGUAACGCGUGGGGAAUCUGCCUUUGAGCGGGGGACAACAUUUGGAAACGAAUGCUAAUACCGCAUAACAACUUUAAACAUAAGUUUUAAGUUUGAAAGAUGCAAUUGCAUCACUCAAAGAUGAUCCCGCGUUGUAUUAGCUAGUUGGUGAGGUAAAGGCUCACCAAGGCGAUGAUACAUAGCCGACCUGAGAGGGUGAUCGGCCACAUUGGGACUGAGACACGGCCCAAACUCCUACGGGAGGCAGCAGUAGGGAAUCUUCGGCAAUGGACGAAAGUCUGACCGAGCAACGCCGCGUGAGUGAAGAAGGUUUUCGGAUCGUAAAACUCUGUUGGUAGAGAAGAACGUUGGUGAGAGUGGAAAGCUCAUCAAGUGACGGUAACUACCCAGAAAGGGACGGCUAACUACG